rnacentral:rRNA from 1 species
GAUGAACGCUGGCGGCGUGCCUAAUACAUGCAAGUCGAGCGAACAGACGAGGAGCUUGCUCCUCUGACGUUAGCGGCGGACGGGUGAGUAACACGUGGAUAACCUACCUAUAAGACUGGGAUAACUUCGGGAAACCGGAGCUAAUACCGGAUAAUAUAUUGAACCGCAUGGUUCAAUAGUGAAAGACGGUUUUGCUGUCACUUAUAGAUGGAUCCGCGCCGCAUUAGCUAGUUGGUAAGGUAACGGCUUACCAAGGCGACGAUGCGUAGCCGACCUGAGAGGGUGAUCGGCCACACUGGAACUGAGACACGGUCCAGACUCCUACGGGAGGCAGCAGUAGGGAAUCUUCCGCAAUGGGCGAAAGCCUGACGGAGCAACGCCGCGUGAGUUAUGAAGGUCUUCGGAUCGUAAAACUUUGUUAUUAGGGAAGAACAAAUGUGUAAGUAACUAUGCACGUCUUGACGGUACCUAAUCAGAAAGCCACGGCUAACUACGUG